rnacentral:rRNA from 1 species
GACGAACGCUGGCGGCGUGCCUAAUACAUGCAAGUAGAACGCUGAAGAGAGGAGCUUACUCUUCUUGGAUGAGUUGCGAACGGGUGAGUAACGCGUAGGUAACCUGCCUUGUAGCGGGGGAUAACUAUUGGAAACGAUAGCUAAUACCGCAUAACAAUGGAUGACACAUGUCAUUUAUUUGAAAGGGGCAAUUGCUCCACUACAAGAUGGACCUGCGUUGUAUUAGCUAGUAGGUGAGGUAAUGGCUCACCUAGGCGACGAUACAUAGCCGACCUGAGAGGGUGAUCGGCCACACUGGGACUGGGACACGGCCCAGACUCCUACGGGAGGCAGCAGUAGGGAAUCUUCGGCAAUGGGGGCAACCCUGACCGAGCAACGCCGCGUGAGUGAAGAAGGUUUUCGGAUCGUAAAGCUCUGUUGUAAGUCAAGAACGGGUGUGAGAGUGGAAAGUUCACACUGUGACGGUAGCUUACCAGAAAGGGACGGCUAACUACGUG